GACGAACGCUGGCGGCGUGCUUAACACAUGCAAGUCGAACGGAAAGGCCCUGCUUUUGUGGGGUGCUCGAGUGGCGAACGGGUGAGUAACACGUGAGUAACCUGCCCUUGACUUUGGGAUAACUUCAGGAAACUGGGGCUAAUACCGGAUAGGAGCCCCUGCUGCAGGGUGGGGGUGGGAAAGUUUCGGCGGUUGGGGAUGGACUCGCGGCUUAUCAGCUUGUUGGUGGGGUAGUGGCUUACCAAGGCUUUGACGGGUAGCCGGCCUGAGAGGGUGACCGGCCACAUUGGGACUGAGAUACGGCCCAGACUCCUACGGGAGGCAGCAGUGGGGAAUAUUGCACAAUGGGCGGAAGCCUGAUGCAGCAACGCCGCGUGCGGGAUGACGGCCUUCGGGUUGUAAACCGCUUUCGCCUGUGACGAAGCGUGAGUGACGGUAAUGGGUAAAGAAGCACCGGCUAACUACGUG
rnacentral:rRNA from 1 species